rnacentral:lncRNA from 1 species
CAAAUUAUGACACACAUAAAAUCCCGAAGCACCCCACCGUUGUGAUUACUCACUACUCGUAGAUAUUUCCUCAGCGAAGUAUAGCAGUUCCGUGCAGGUGUCCUCACAAGAUCCACAGCAAGCACAGUUAUCAAUGCAGACAGUACUCCUUAGCACCAACAGAUAUCCCAUGGAAACAUGAACUCGUUAAUCUUCCGCAAGCAAUUCUCUCCAGGUCUCGCACGAUGCUAAGCUAACCUCGAGUUCUCAAAUACCUCCAAGAUGCAACGGCCUCCAGUUAACCAGGUCAACUCUGCCAUUGGCCGGCCACAGCUUAAAACAAGCGACCUUUUUGGUCAAAACUUAAACUGUAAUUUGUUUCCUGAGGUUUCUGAACGCACCCUGUCUGGUUGCCGGGCGACGAAGCUAGGCGGGAGAUCUCUCAAUUACCCGCACCUGCAUCUCAUCAGCCAUCUGCACACCUGGUCCUGAUCAUCACCUCUUCUCUUCAUAAACUCUGACCUGACAUCCAUUCAUUGCCGGAUCGUUAGCAAUGAACAUCAUUCUCCCUGAACAUUCACCCCCCCCCCCUCCCUGCCUGGUCGUCGGUGGCUUCUGUGACAUCAUUGGAUCUGCCUAUUCACUCUCAUCAACUCACCUCCGCUGCCGCUCCGUCUCCUGGAUUAUUCUGUUUUCACCUUGACUCUGUAAAUAAAUACUCACCUUCAUUUUACUCACCUUGUCCUGGUCGGCUUCUGGGUUCUGCUUUAAAUAAUUGUGACAAUUACAUGUGUUAUUUCAUUUGACUGGUACUGAAUACUUUUUUUAUUCUUCCACUUUGACAUGUGUAGAAUGUUGGCAAAAAAUGACAGUAUGGCAAAAUAAAAAAUGAAAUCGUUUUAAUGGCUUUCUCCAUUCUCCAUUCUGAUUGUUUUAUACUCAAACAAACUAGGACAAAACUGACAGUGAAGUAGUCCAAUUUGUAAAUCUGUUCAUUUGUUUAGCACUGUAUCAAAACAUUGUUAUAGACUGUAUUGUAAAAAUCCAUACCGUAUGUGGAUCCAUACCAGGUAACUUAAAAUAGAAUAUAUCGCCCAGGUUUAUGGUGAUUUUCUUCAGAAGGUUGUGGUAAUUUGAAUCUAGAGCAUAAUAAUAUUCAGCCACUCUAGGAGGAGCAUAAUGGUUCAAUUGAAGAUGCUUGUUUCUAACUAUGAAUCUUGGACUGCAUGGUAGUGAGUUUCCUUUCUGCUUGUGUCUGAUGGAUGACCGAGCUACAGGUGAAGGAGCCUCUACUGUUCUCAGGAAAUCCUUUGUUUAAGGCAUGUUUUUCAGCCAUGUGAUCUCACACACACUCACUCCAUCUUACCCUGAGUCAACCAAGGGGAGUGGGCACACAGAGCGGAUCUGUGGCUGUGAACCCCAUUGCCCCCAAUUACACCACGUAUGCUGGAUUUCACUCAUAAGAAUGAAGUGUACUAUUUUUAGGUGAACUACAUAACAAAGAUAUUCAAUUACUUGAAAUGAAAUGUACAUUUUGACCAUAAAGCCUUGUACAACAAAAUGUGGUGUACU